AAGAAGUUAGUUAAUAGUGUAUAACAUUGAGUUGUCAAAUCAAAAUAAACAAAAGUGUUACUUCUUU
rnacentral:tRNA from 1 species